UCUGCCAGAGGAAGUGAAGCAGGCAGCCUGAUGUGCUGCUGGGAGUCGCUUCUCUGCCAUGCCUUCUGCAUCCCACAGAGCCGGCCUGGUCUGCAUCGGUGAUCUCCUAAUGGGUCUACAUAGAACUGCGGAACUUGCGAGGUGUACAAGAUACUAACAGUGUACAGGCAGGACAGCCAAACCCGCCAUUUUUCCCAAAUUUGGAACUCAUACUUCUGUUGAUUCAUCAUCUGUGAUGACAAAAUCAAGCUGCAAGAGCACCACAGGCCG
rnacentral:lncRNA from 1 species